rnacentral:misc_RNA from 1 species
UCCUCCCUCAAACCUCGCGUUUGGUGUUGGACCGCGGUGGGGGGUCCGUCCCCCACCGGGUCUCAAAGACAAUGACGGCGUCCGUGGGACCCUCUUCGCACUGAGCUUUCCGGAGCACGCGUCGAGUCGCAAGGUCCCGGGGACCCGGUCACCUAUCCUUUUUACUUCUA